UACGUAGGGGGCAAGCGUUGUCCGGAAUCAUUGGGCGUAAAGCGCGCGUAGGCGGCCCGGUAAGUCCGUUGUGAAAGUCAAAGGCUCAACCUUUGAACGCCGAUGGAUACUGCCGGGCUAGAGUACAGAAGGGGCAACUGGAAUUCUCGGUGUAGCGGUGAAAUGCGUAGAUAUCGAGAGGAACACCUGCGGCUAAGGCGGGUUGCUGGGCUGAUACUGACGCUGAGGCGCGAAAGCCAGGGGAGCGAACGGG
rnacentral:rRNA from 1 species